rnacentral:ncRNA from 1 species
GUAAAGUUUUAUUUUAGCUUGGGGUUUUGGUUAAAUUAAAUUUCAUAUGUAAGUUAAGCAUGGGGGGGGUUUAUUUUAAAAAAGUAAAUUUUGUUUAAUUUAUUCGCAGUGGAGAAAUUUAAAUAUCAGUGAGAGCUGGAUUUGGGUAUAAUUUAUAGUAUUGACUAAAUUUGUGCCAGCAGUUGCGGUUAUACUUAUAAUACAACUUAAUUUUUUUGGAUAUUAGUUAGCUUAAAAUGGUAAAUUUGAAUUUUGGAUUUAUGGGGUGGAAUCUUAAAUUUAUUGGGAAAAUUUAUUUUUGUUGGUGAAGCUAAGAAAUUUUUUUUGAAACUAGGAUUAGAUACCCUAUUAUUAGAAAUGUGAAGUUUACUUAUUCUAGAAUAGUAGUAGUUAUGUUCUUGAAAAUUAAAAAUUUUGGCGGUAUUUUAGUCCAUUCAGAGGAACCUGUCCUGUAAUCGAUAGUCCACGAUUAACUAAACUUUUUUUAUUUGGUUUAUAUAUCGUCGUGGCUUGAAUAUUUUUGUAGAAGUUUAAUAUUCAUGAUUUUAUUUAUAAAGGAUAUCAGAUCAAGGUGUAGCUAAUAGGGAAGGAGAGAUGGGUUACAUUAAAUUUAUUUUAUGAUGAAAUUAUUGAAAGUUUUUAGGAUUUCGGAUUUGAAAGUAAUUUUAAUUAUUUAAUUAAGAUGAUUAAGGCUCUAAAAUAUGCACAUAUCGCCCGUCGCUUUCAUCCCAAGGUGGAAUAAGUCGUAACAAAGUAGGCUUACUGGAAAGUGAGCCUAGAUAG